CGUGCCUAGAAUACUGAAAUACAGUCUGAUUCCACUUAUACACCGUGCCUAGAAUAGUCAAAUACAGUCUGAUUCCACUUAUACAGCAUGCCUAGAAUAGUUAAAUACAGUCUGAUUCCACUUAUACAGCAUGCCUAGAAUAGUCAAAUUCAUAAAGAAAGAAAGUAGAAUGGUGGUUGUUAGGAGCUGUGGGGAGGAGGAAAUGUGAAGUUAUUGCUUAAUGAGUACAGAGUUUCAGUUUUGCAAGAUGAACAAAGGUUUGAAGAUGGCUUGUGGCAACAGUUGCACAACAAUGUGAAUGUACUUAAUGCCACUAAACUGUACAUUUGUAAGUUAAGAUGGCAAAUUUUAUGUUAUAUGUAUUUUAUAUGAGGUUUUUAAAAGUAGAAAUGAUGGGAAGAAAAAGGAAAACAGACUUUAACUCCUUUAUAGUUAGCUAUGACCAGCUCUAAGUCCUUUGUUUUGAGGAACUAUAGCUGCUGAUAGAGUGUGUUGCUAUUUACAUUUGCUUCUCAUAACAAUUCUGUUGAUAGUUAUUCUAAUUAACCCUUGUUUUACAGAAAGGAAAGAGAUGCUCAAAUUCCCAACAAUGGUAUCUACUGGAGCUGUAACUUUGAUCUAGGUUUUCCAGAUUCUCAAAACACUGACUAUUGAGAUGGUGGCUGAAGUACUGAUGGAAGCAUUGGUGAUGAUGGUAGGAGUAGGUGCAGUGGUGUUGACACCAAAGCAAAUUCCAAAAGUUACAAAGAAUAACGAUAGCUAAUAUUGAUAUGCACUUAUUCUGUCAGACACUCUCUUGAGUGCCUUACAUUUAUUAACCGUGAAAUCCUCAAACUACGUUAUGCGAUAAGUUUUAUGAUUCCAUGUUUUAGAAGAAAAAACUAAAAUGCUGAUACAUUAAUUGUUUUGACCAAGAUGUCACAGAUGAGUGGUAUAAUCAGGAUUGUUUGAAUCUAGUUUUGAGUCUAAAACUAGUAUCUCAGUCUCUACAGUAUUUUACUUUUCCAGAAAGUUGCAGACUAUCACUGCUUUGUAAUUUAAUGUUUUCAGUCUGGCAUGGUAGGAAAAGUACAAAGCUUUUGAAAGAAAGAUACAAGUCCCUGCUCCAUCAUUUCUAAUCCAGUAAGCUAUUUCCUCAUCUUAUAUAGUGAGAAAUUUCUGCCCCGCCUAUCUAAAUUAUAAGAUGAUCUCAGAUAAAGUAUUUUGCAAACUGAACAUUUAAUUGUAAUAAAUGCUGCCUUUUCUGCAGCUACUUUUGUUCUCAAUAAAAUUUAGUUAUUUUAAGCCAAUUAAAAUCUCAUGCUUAAUGGACAUUUUCCUUUUGUAGGCAGUGA
rnacentral:lncRNA from 10 species